AGAGAGAGGAGCUUCAUGCUUCGCGUCGGGGAAGGAAAGACAUAGAAUUUGGAUUUUUCUUCUUCGUAGAGUUUUGGGAAGACUGAGGCAAUCGCUGCUGAAGUCAGUAUUGUAAUGGUGAAUCGGGAUUUUUAAUGAAGUGGAUUUGAAUACUCUUGAUUGUUUUGUGAAAUCGAAUUACGUCUUUGAUUGAAGGAUUAAAAGGGUGUCUAUAGGAUUGAGUAUGCGGAGUGAAUGAAAUUUAUUGGGUUAAUCUAAUAAGACAGUCAGUGGAUACAAGAUCGUAAGUACAAAGCAGUAUUGAA
rnacentral:lncRNA from 1 species